GAUGAACGCUGGCGGCGUGCCUAAUACAUGCAAGUCGAGCGAACAGAUAAGGAGCUUGCUCCUUUGACGUUAGCGACGGACGGGUGAGUAACACGUGGGUAACUUACCUAUAAGACUGGAAUAACUCCGGGAAACCGGGGCUAAUGCCGGAUAACAUGUUGAACCGCAUGGUUCUACAGUGAAAGGCGGCUUUGCUGUCACUUAUAGAUGGACCCGCGCCGUAUUAGCUAGUUGGUGAGGUGACGGCUCACCAAGGCAACGAUACGUAGCCGACCUGAGAGGGUGAUCGGCCACACUGGAACUGAGACACGGUCCAGACUCCUACGGGAGGCAGCAGUAGGGAAUCUUCCGCAAUGGGCGAAAGCCUGACGGAGCAACGCCGCGUGAGUGAUGAAGGUCUUCGGAUCGUAAAACUCUGUUAUUAGGGAAGAACAAAUGCGUAAGUAACUGUGCGCGUCUUGACGGUACCUAAUCAGAAAGCCACGGCUAACUACGUG
rnacentral:rRNA from 1 species